CGCCUCUUGCUAACAACCAUGUAUAAGAGGUCCAGCCUGCCCAGUGACUAUAUGUUCAACGGCCGCGGUAUUCUGACCGUGCAAAGGUAGCGUAAUCACUUGUCUUUUAAAUAAAGACUGGUAUGAAUGGCACCACGAAGGUUCAACUGUCUCCUGUAUCCAAUCCAUUAAACUGACCUCCCCGUGCAGAGGCGGGGAUAUAAUCAUAAGACGAGAAGACCCUAUGGAGCUUUAAACUAAGGGCAACUGCCAAACUAUUCUACCCGUAAGGAUAAACUACUAAACAAGCAGAAAUUGACCUAAAGUUUUCGGUUGGGGCGACCAUGGAGAAUAAAAAAUCCUCCUUGAAGAAUAGGGCUUACAACCCUUAACCAAGAACCACUAUUCUAAGUAACAAAAUUUAUGACUGCAAUUGAUCCAGUCCUACUGAUCAACGAACCAAGUUACCCUAGGGAUAACAGCGCAAUCCAUUUCAAAAGUUCUUAUCGACAAAUGGGUUUACGACCUCGAUGUUGGAUCAGGGCAUCCCAGUGGUGCAGCCGCUACUAAAGGUUCGUUUGUUCAACGAUUAAAGCCCU
rnacentral:rRNA from 1 species